AUUGAACGCUGGCGGCAUGCCUUACACAUGCAAGUCGAACGGUAACAGGUCUUCGGAUGCUGACGAGUGGCGAACGGGUGAGUAAUACAUCGGAACGUGCCCGAGAGUGGGGGAUAACGAGGCGAAAGCUUUGCUAAUACCGCAUACGAUCUCAGGAAGAAAGCAGGGGACCGCAAGGCCUUGCGCUCACGGAGCGGCCGAUGGCAGAUUAGGGAGUUGGUGGGAUAAAAGCUUACCAAGCCGACGAUCUGUAGCUGGUCUGAGAGGACGACCAGCCACACUGGGACUGAGACACGGCCCAGACUCCUACGGGAGGCAGCAGUGGGGAAUUUUGGACAAUGGGCGCAAGCCUGAUCCAGCCAUGCCGCGUGCAGGAUGAAGGCCUUCGGGUUGUAAACUGCUUUUGUACGGAACGAAAAGACUCCUUCUAAUAAAGGGGGUCCAUGACGGUACCGUAAGAAUAAGCACCGGCUAACUACGUGCCAGCCGCCGCCGUAAGAC
rnacentral:rRNA from 1 species